rnacentral:misc_RNA from 1 species
AACCAUAGAAACCUGCGGAGUACCUGCGGAGGGAUCAUUACACAAUACAAUAUGAAGGCUGUCCGCAGCUGGAGUAUUUUAUUACCCUUGUCUUUUGCGCACUUGUUGUUUCCUGGGCGGGUUCGCUCGCCACCAGGACCACCAAAUAAACCUUUUUUAUGCAGUUGCAAUCAGCGUCAGUACAAACAAUGUAAAUCAUUUACAACUUUUAACAAUGGAUCUCAGAUCGGAAGAGCACAC